rnacentral:lncRNA from 1 species
UGUCAAUUUGCUUUUCAAAUAUAUUUGAAUUGGGGUAUAUAACUGCAUCUGCACGUACAUACGUUAAUGAGUUGGCGUUUAUAAAAAACUAUCAAGUUAUUCAUAUUCUUUAUGUAUGACUUAAAUCGCCUAAUUUGUAUAAUACUGCCUUUUUUGAAUGGUUUGUAGUGUGGCGUUUUUCAAUGAGCCUUAGUUUUUAUUCGAAAGAUAAAAAAAAUAAUAUCGAACCUGUUGUGUAAGCGUUCCAGUCCAAAUUAUGAACCCUUGUCAGUGGUUGUUUUUCAUUUUUGUUUUUAGAUUUGUUUGCUUAUUUUUCUUAUCUGGUGUGUUUUGGUAAUUUUUAUUAAAAUAAAACCCAAAUUGUCGAUCUUGGUUUUGAAAUAUGACCAUUCGGACUUCACUUAACUAAAUUGGUAGCAAGAAAUGAAUGUUUAAGUGACUGCUUGUUUGGUCGUCUGGGAUGUAUAACUAUGCAGUCCUAUGGGGUUAGAUGGGAACAUUUAAAACCAAUGUUUCGUUGAGGGUGAGUUCCACGUUUACAAAACGUAUCAGAAAAAAAAAAUCAAAUUUUAAACUAGACUUUCCAUUCUCAAUUUUAUUUAGUCAAGAGAACUGUAAGCUGCAUUUCUGUAAAUGUAGAUUAUUUCCUAUAGGAACUCCCUUUGCGGCUAAACUGUGACACUUUUACUAUGACGUUUCGUAAUUUUUUUUCCCUAGAAUGGAAAGUUGAUAUGCUCUACUAUUUUAUGCAAAGUUCAAAAUUCUAUACUACCCUCUCCCUUUACUUUUUCCCUACUUCAGAAUUUAUUUUUCAC